rnacentral:snRNA from 1 species
GUACUCGCUUCGGCAGUACAUAUACUAAAAUUGGAACGAUCCAGAGAAGAUUAGCAUGGCCCCUGCGU